GCCUGGCUGGCUCAGUUCGUAGAGCAUGCAGCUCUUAAUCUCAGAGUUGUGAGUUCAAGCCCCAUGUUGGGCG
rnacentral:tRNA from 1 species